GACAGAGGCCUCAAGCGUUAGGCGGAAUCACUGGGCUUAAAGCGCGUGUAGGCGGUCUCGCAAGUCGGAUGUGAAAGCCCAGGGCUCAACCCUGGAAGUGCACUCGAUACUGCGAGGCUAGAGUCCCGGAGAGGAUGGUGGAACUCUCGGUGUAGAGGUGAAAUUCGUAGAUAUCGAGAAGAACACCGGUGGCGAAGGCGGGUCUCUGGGCCGUAACUGACGCUGAGGAGCGAAAGCAUGGGAGCGAACAGG
rnacentral:rRNA from 1 species